rnacentral:rRNA from 1 species
GACGAACGCUGGCGGCGUGCCUAAUACAUGCAAGUCGAACGCAGUGGGGCCGGGUGAGUAACACGUGGGUAACCUCCCAUCAGAGGGGAUAACACUUGGAAACAAGUGCUAAACCGAUACUGAUGGAUGCACCCGCGGUGCAUUAGCUAGUUGGUGAGGUAACGGCUCACCAAGGCCACGAUGCAUAGCCGACCUUGGAGGGUGAUCGGCAACACGGGGACGGAGACACGGCCUAGACUCCUACGUGGGGCAGAAGUAGGGAAUCUUAGGAAAUGGACGAAAGUCUGACCGAGCAACGCCGCGUGAGUGAAGAAGGUUUUCGGAUCGUAAAGCUCUGUUGUUAGAGAAGCGGUAUCUAACCAGAAAGCCACGGCUAACUACGUGCCAGCAGCCGCGGUAAUAC